rnacentral:lncRNA from 1 species
GGGGUGCUCAGGGAGGCAGCACUGCGCAAGCGCAAUAGAGGGGGCUGCGUCGACACCCACUUAACUUCGGAGUUAGUGGGACACCUUUCUUUUUGCUUAGUACGCUUUUCUGCUAUUCCUGCCGCAUAACUCUCUCUUCCCCAGGCUUUUCCCAUCUCCAUCCUAUUCUCUCGCAGGCAGGUUUUUCUUCCGCCUCUCUGGGGAUUUUCGCGUUGGUUCUCCCUGCCCCCAGGAGUGAGGCGGGUAACGCCCACGCCUACCUCCGGUGCUGGGGGAAAAGAUUACUUCCCAGAUGCAGUAUUUACAUCUCCUCCGCCCUACUCUUCCAACCCUGCCUGAAAUAAGUGUGGUUCUCCUGUCUGUCAGACUAUGAAGAGUUCUCAAAUAUGUCUUUCCCAGCGAGGGAGAGGAGAAAACUUCAGCCUCCACGAUCGAUGUUUCUCAAGUGUCAAGGAAAAUGGAGCCUAGGAGGGCAGCCCCACAAGCAGCGUGAUGGGCAUUUAAGCCGACGCAUGUGCCAGGUCCUAGAACAGAGUAA